rnacentral:rRNA from 1 species
AUGGAGGAAGCAGGGAAGGGUCUUGAUUGGGUUCAUUCGAAGGAGAAAUACAAGGAAUAUUUAAAGCAGCUUCCUGAUAUCAGCUCCAGCAAGAGCAAGGCAGCAUCUGUGGCAAACCCUCAUGUGGUCCAGAAGAGCAAAGGAGUUACAAUGAAGAAGAAUCUGAAGCUGCCUCAAAUCAAGCAACAGAUGCCGAGGGCAUAUGCAAAAAUACAUGUGGACAAGGAAGUUGUGGCGAAAACUGUUGUGCCAACUGUAGUGAUCAGAGAGCCAACCACCACUGAAGAUGUGUCAGCAAUACCUGUUGAGCCUACAACCAUCACAGGAGUUCAACAGAUCAAGGGGAAGAUUCCUCUGUCAACAGCCCCACCUAAACUAGCUAAGCAACAAAAGAUUGUCUAG